ensembl:snRNA U6 U6 spliceosomal RNA
UUGCUCACUUCAGCAGCACAUGAACUAACAUUGAAGCGAUACAGAGAAGAUCAGCAUGGCCCCUGCACGAGGAUGACACACAGAUUCACAAAGUGUUUCAUUUUAAA